rnacentral:rRNA from 1 species
GUGAGUAACACGUGGAUAACCUACCUAUAAGACUGGGAUAACUUCGGGAAACCGGAGCUAAUACCAGAUAAUAUAUUGAACCGCAUGGUUCAAUAGUGAAAGACGGUUUUGCUGUCACUUAUAGAUGGAUCCGCGCCGCAUUAGCUAGUUGGUAAGGUAACGGCUUACCAAGGCAACGAUGCGUAGCCGACCUGAGAGGGUGAUCGGCCACACUGGAACUGAGACACGGUCCAG